CAGCCAUCCUUCUAUGGCAGCCAUCACAGAUUCAGUGGUAUCCUGUUGAGACCCCAUGCAACAUGUUUUGUCCAUGUCUAAUCUCAGUUUGUGAAUCCCAGAGCAACAGGAAGAAUCUUCAUUGACUGGUAAAUGGUAUAUAUACAAAAUAGGAUACGAUUCGAUCACAAAACAGAAUGAAACCAUGUCAUUUGCAGCAACAUGGAUGAAACUGGAGGUCACUCUCUUAAGUGAAAUAAGCCAGGCACAAAAAGACAAAUACCACAGGUUGUCACUUACAUAGAGAGGAGCCGAAGAAGCUGAUCUUGUGGAGGCAGAAAGUAGAAUGAUAAAAGUUAGCCGGGCAUGGUGGCAGGCACCUGUAGUCCCAGCUACUCGGGAGGCUGAGGCAGGAGAACCGCUUGAACCCAGGAGGCGGAGGUUGCGGUGAGCCGAGAUCACACCACUGCACUCCAGCCUGGGCAAUAGAGUGAGACUCUGCCUCAAAAACUAAAAAUAAAAAUAAAGUAGAAUGAUAGAUUCCAGAGUCUGGAAAGGGUAUGUGAGUGGGCAAGGCGAUGAAGAGAGGUUGGUUAAUGGGUACAACAUACAGUCAGAUAGAAGGAAUAAGUUAUAAUAUUG
rnacentral:lncRNA from 10 species